GAAACGUAUUUUCCUUUUCUACAUUGUUAAGUAUUGGGGAUAGAGAUUAAUCUCAUUAGGAUUAUUCCUAUAUAUCUUCUGAUUAUGUCCUAUAUUUUAGGGACUAGAGUAUAUCUUAUACGAUGUCUCUCUUGUAUAAAUAUUAUACUUUGUGAAUCAAUAAAAUCAAGUUAGUGCAAUAUCUAAUUCUACAUAGUUUCUUUAUUUCAUUAGAGCAUCCUUAUCCAUAGGUUGUUAACAAUAUCAUAAGAACUAUUAAAAUAUUAUAUUAAACAAAAUAAGAAUAAAAAAAUUAAAAAAAAGUAUACUUAAGAGAUGAAAAAUGGCUCUUAGCUAAAAGUUUUUAGAUACAUUCUCUCUAGCCUUUUUAAUAUUUAAACAUUAUUUUGUAUAUAUCAAAAUUGUUUAUAAUUCUAUGUAAGAGUCGAUUGAUAAAGAUGGUCUAAUUUCCUUUUCUUAAUUUUUGACGUA
rnacentral:sRNA from 1 species